GGCCCUGCAAUCUUUGAGCAUAUCUUACUCAGUGAAUACAUGUAUGAUCCUUCCAAAGGAGCCCUUAAGCAGUGUCAUGAUUGUAUUGGUUGGGUAGAUGCAAUGGCUGGGUGGACUGGUUGGGCUGGCAGUUGGAGCGUUUGAGACUGAACUGCUAACAGAAACAAGUUUAGAUUGUGUUUGGAUUUUAAAACAUUGGUUAUGAUGCCAAUAUAUGUAUAUUGGAAAAUUAAUGUAGGCAUGGUUUUGAAUUGGUUCGUACCAUGUCUUAUGUUAUGACUAACCUUCUUUAAUCCUGUUUCUUUGUCAAAGUUUGGGGAACCAUUUUAGUGGUUUAUUUUCAAAGAGAUUGAUGAUAUUUUCAGUUUUGGAAUCGUUUGAGCAAAACUCAUGUUCAUACUGAGGGCUGGAGCCGCUGCGGUGUUCUCGUACCUUAGAUUUUUGCUAAGUUCAGUGUUUGCUAAUGUCUGUAGGGUUCAUAUUGUAUUAUCUGAACUUUUUAGAAAAGUAAUUUUUGUGCAUAUCAAGAAAGAAAUCUUGGCUGUACACAUUUAUUUAUUUAUCUUAUGAUGCUCUUGUUCUUCAGGGACCUUGGAAAUUCGAACUUAUCAGGCCAUCUGGUACUUGAACUUGGAAAACUUGAACAUCUACAGUAUUUGUAGAUGUUGCAUGUGGGAG